CCUACGGGAGGCAGCAGUGAGGAAUAUUGGUCAAUGGACGAGAGUCUGAACCAGCCAAGUAGCGUGAAGGAUGAAUGCCCAAUGGGUUGUAAACUUCUUUUAUAAGGGAAUAAAACGAGGCACGUGUGCCUUUAUGCAUGUACUUUAUGAAUAAGGAUCGGCUAACUCCGUGCCAGCAGCCGCGGUAAUACGGAGGAUCCGAGCGUUAUCCGGAUUUAUUGGGUUUAAAGGGUGCGUAGAUGGGUUGUUAAGUCAGUUGUGAAAGUUUCGGGCUCAACCGUAAAAUUGCAAUUGAUACUGGCAGUUUUGAGUACAGUUGAGGUAUGCGGAAUGCGUGGUGUAGCGGUGAAAUGCUUAGAUAUCACGAAGAACCCCGAUUGCGAAGGCAGCUUACUAAACUGUGACUGACAUUGAUGCUCGAAAGUGUGGGUAUCAAACAGGAUUAGAUACCCGUGUAGUC
rnacentral:rRNA from 1 species